GCUGGCCGUCGCGGACCACCGAGAUGCAGUGGCGGUCCCCGUAGCUGGCCCGCGGCAUGCCGCCCUGGAAGAUGGUGAAGGGCAACCUGCAGGCAGGGAGGGAGGGAGGGCGGGGUGGGCGGGUAGCCGGGGCAUCGGGGGGGCACACAGGGACAGUGCCCAGGC